UACGAAGGGGGCUAGGCGUUGUUCGGAUUUACUGGGCGUAAAGCGCACGUAGGCGGAUCGUUAAGUCGGGGGUGAAAUCCUGGAGCUCAACUCCAGAACUGCCUUCGAUACUGGCGAUCUUGAGUCCGGAAGAGGUGAGUGGAACUCCUAGUGUAGAGGUGGAAUUCGUAGAUAUUAGGAAGAACACCAGUGGCGAAGGCGGCUCACUGGUCCGGUACUGACGCUGAGGUGCGAAAGCGUGGGGAGCAAACAGG
rnacentral:rRNA from 1 species